AUUGAACGCUGGCGGCAGGCCUAACACAUGCAAGUCGAGCGGAGCGGCGGAGGGGUGCGUAAUGGCUAGGAAUCUGCAUGGUCGUGGGGGAUAACGUCAGGAAACGGGAGCUAAUACCGCAUACUAUCAGAUGAGGCUAGGUCGGAUUAGCUAGAUGGUGGGGUAAAGGUCUACCAAGACGACGAUCCGGAGCUGGUCUGAGAGGAUGAUCAGUCACACUGGAACUGAGACACGGUCCAGACUCCUACGGGAGGCAGCAGUGGGGAAUAUUGGACAAUGGGCGAAAGCCUGAUGCAGCCAUGCCGCGUGUAUGAAGAAGGUCUUCGGGUUGUAAAGCACUUUAAGUUGGGAGGCGUUACCAGCAGAAUAAGCACCGGCUAACUUCGUGCCAGCAGCCGCGGUAAUUC
rnacentral:rRNA from 1 species